rnacentral:rRNA from 1 species
GACGAACGCUGGCGGCAUGCUUAACACAUGCAAGUCGAACGGAAAGGCCCUGCUUGCAGGGUACUCGGGUGGCGAACGGGUGAGUAACGCGUGUAGGAUCUGCCCUGCACUUCGGGAUAAGCCUUGAUAACUGGGUCUAAUACCGGACAGGAGCCUUUUUUCGUGUGGUUGUUGGCAAGUUUGUUCGGUGUAGGAUUAGCGCGCGGCCUAUCAGCUUGUUGGUGGGGUAAUGGCCUACCGAGGCGGCGACGGGUAGCCGGACUGGGAGGGUGGACGGGCACAUUGGGACUGAGACUCGGACCCGGCUCCGACUGGAGGCAGCAGUAGGGAAUAGUGCACAAUGGGAGUAAGCCUGAUGCAGCGACGGCGCGUGGGGGAUGACGGCCUUGGGGUUGGAAACGUCUUUCGCUAUGGACCAAGCUGUUUGUGACGGUACCUAGAUAAGAAGCACCGGCUAACUACGUG